ACGCUGGCGGCGUGCCUAACACAUGCAAGUCGAGCGAGAAAGCCCGCAAGGGUGAGUAAAGCGGCGCACGGGUGCGUAACACGUGGGUAAUCUGCCCUGGAGUCCGGAAUAACUCGCCGAAAGGCGUGCUAAUGCCGGGUAUCUCCGCGGGGGCUUCGGCUCCUGCGGGAAAAGGUGGCCUCUGUACACAAGCUACCGCUUUAGGAUGAGCCCGCGUCCCAUCAGCUAGUUGGCGGGGUAAUGGCCCACCAAGGCUACGACGGGUAGCUGGUCUGAGAGGACGAUCAGCCACACUGGAACUGAGACACGGUCCAGACUCCUACGGGAGGCAGCAGUGGGAAUCUUGCGCAAUGGGCGAAAGCCUGACGCAGCAACGCCGCGUGUGUGAUGAAGGUCUUCGGAUCGUAAAGCACUGUCGCGAGGGACGAAUAAGGGUCGGGAUAAUACUCCGGUCCGAUGACGGUACCUCGAGAGGAAGCACCGGCUAACUCUGUGCCAGCAGCCGCGGUAAUACAGAGGGUGCUAGCGUUGUUCGGAAUUAUUGGGCGUAAAGCGCGUGUAGGCGGUUCAGCAAGUCAGGUGUGAAAGCCCUCGGCUUAACCGAGGAAGUGCGCCUGAAACUGCUGGACUUGAGUACCGGAGAGGGCGGUGGAAUUCCCGGUGUAGAGGUGAAAUUCGUAGAUAUCGGGAGGAACACCAGCGGCGAAGGCGACCGCCUGGACGGCUACUGACGCUGAGACGCGAAAGCGUGGGGAGCAAACAGGAUUAGAUACCCUGGUAGUCCACGCUGUAAACGAUGAGCGCUAGGUGUUGUGGGUGUUGACCCCCGCAGUGCCGCAGCUAACGCAUUAAGCGCUCCGCCU
rnacentral:rRNA from 1 species